AUUGAACGCUGGCGGCAGGCCUAACACAUGCAAGUCGAACGAGUGGCGGACGGUUGAGUAAUGUCUGGGAAACUGCCUGAUGGAGGGGGAUAACUACUGGAAACGGUAGCUAAUACCGCAUACCCUCGGAUGUGCCCAGAUGGGAUUAGCUAGUAGGUGGGGUAAUGGCUCACCUAGGCGACGAUCCCUAGCUGGUCUGAGAGGAUGACAAGACACACUGGAACUGAGACACUGUCCAGACUCCUACGAGAGGCAGAAGUGGGGAAUAUUGCAAAAGGGGAGCAAGACUGAUGCAGCCAUGCCGCGGGUGUGAAGAAGGCCUUAGGGUUGUAAAGCACUUUCAGCGAGGAGGCGUUACUCGCAGAAGAAGCACCGGCUAACUCCGUGCCAGCAGCAGCGGUAAUAC
rnacentral:rRNA from 1 species